UACAAUUUUACUAUAAUUGAUGGUAAUAUAUUUUAAUUGAUUCCAUGUUUUAAUCAUGCUCUGCCUCAUUUUUAUGCGUGCAGAAACAUAGAACCAACCAAUUUGGAUAGAAUUUGUAUGCAGAUCCGAAUGAUGCACCUGCAUGUUGGCAAUACUUAUUAUCAAUUUCUAGUUUCUGUUUUUAUGCUUCCAGGGGCAUGACUUAUAUUGAGAUAGCAUGAAAUUGAUGCUUCCAGAUAUCCAUGCUUCCUAAUCCAAUAUAUGUUUCUUAGUACAGUUAAUUUACCGCAAUAGAACCAUGCCUCGAAAUAUUCAUUCUUAAGCAUCCAACGUUUUUGGUACAUGUAUUUUGAACCUUCUUUCUAGCACUAGUUGUUGAUCCCCACCUUCUAUUGCUAUACAUCAUGCCUAAACGUUUUAGGGAAAUGUUUCUGUGCGGCGCGCCGGCGCAACGCUCGGGCCGGUCGCUCGUGCGUUGUACGAUAGAAACACCCCUGGCCACUCGUUUUGUGGGUCCUAGCACCGCCCAGCCCUCCCAUCCUUAUCUCCUCCUCCCGCAUCUCUCUUCCUCCACUUCUUUUUCCAUCGUCAGCCAUGGGAGCGGCAGCCCCAAUCUUGCUCAUCUCCUUCCUCUCUCUACUCCUCCCUCCCCUACCCCCUGAGCUAAAGAGGCUAUUGACAGCGCCCGCACCACACCCUUCAGAGCUGCUGCAAAGGGAGGAGUUGCACAGCCAGGACGCACUCGUCACUAUGGGUCGCCCAGGGGACGGCGAGCGGGGGGUGCUGCAAGCAGCGGAGGACGGGGCCACAAGCGGGGCGGCCACCACCAACCACCGAUGUGUAUUCGCGGUGGAGAUGCUGCUACCCCGGUGCGGCGGAGCUACAACCGUAGGCCGGUGGAGUUGCAACCAGCAAAAAAAAUGCUGGAACCGGUGAUAGCCGUGUUGUGAUGGCCAUGGCUGCGAUUCAUCGUUGCUGGGACCAGCAAUUUUUUUUGCUGGAAACAGCGAUUUUUUUUGCUACGACCCCAGCGACGAUGAUUCAUAGUUUGCUGGAACGACAAGUACUUUUGCUGGAACCAUUUUCUUUUUUUGUUGCUAGCAUAAUUUCUUUUUGUUAUGACCGUUUUGAUUUUUGCUGGAACAAACAUCCAUUAUUUUUGUUACCAUCGUCUUGGAUUUUUUUUGGUGGAACCGGUGUAUUUUUGUGCUACAACUGUUCUUCAAUUUUGCUGGAACCAACCCACCUUUUUUGUUUGCGAUUUUCAUGAUGGCGAGCGUGCGGACGAUGAGCGUCGACGGCAAGCGAUUGGCCAUCGCCACCGGAGCUGCAACCGUCGCUAUCGGAGCUGCAAUUGCAGGCCACAGCUGUUGCAUGCGUGGAGUCAGAGACAAGUGCAGGCGGCGACCGGUGACAAGGACAUCCGGCGAGGGCGGCGAGGGCGGCCGAUGAGGUGCGGUGACCGGCGACGAGGACAUCCAGCGAGGGCGGCGAGGACAAAGGGAGCGAUGACCCUGGAAGACAAAGGGAGCAAUGAGAGGCAUGGGGUCUUUUUUCAUACGCGCUCGUGCGGCAGACAACUGCAUCGAUCGUACGACUGCAGACGACUUAAUUAGACGGCUGAAAGUGGACCGGCCGAAUGAUAAGGCCGGUGCGCCGGCGCCUAUUAGUCGCCAAUGUUUUAUGCAUCAAAGGUGCUUAAAGGUCGCCGAUGCCAGCCGAGUGACAAGCUAGCCAACUGGCCCGAGGAGCUCAAGGAUGGCGGCACCCAGUGGCAUGCAGACAAAUCACAAUGGCAACGAUGGGCCUGCUUGCUUGCCAACAGAUGGAAAUAACAAGCUACAUGGAAAGUUGGGCGCCGCCGUAGACAUAUAUGGAAGCAUACAUGGAAGCAACCCAUGCAUGCACCUAGAAGUGUGAUGAGACAUGGAUCUUCCCUACAAUGAAGAGGAGCACAUGCGAACAGAAGCAAGUCUACAAUCUAUAAGAACAUAUGAUAUUAACUUAGAAGCAGUGUACAUACUAUUGGAGACUUGGAAGAAAAUAACCUUGUAUCAUGCCUUGAACUUAGUAUAUGAAUGAAUGAAGCAGGAAACGAACUUCUUUUCUGUUGGAGACAAA